rnacentral:lncRNA from 1 species
GGGCUUUCGGGUUUCGGGUUUUGGGUUUGGGGGUUGGGGUUUAGGAAUAACGACGAAACUUAAAAUUAAAUAUGGGGUUUGGAAUAUAUGAAGUAGAAAAUUAAAGAUGGGGGUUUGGGUUUUGGGUUUCGGGUUUAGGCUUUCGGGUUUCGGGUUUGGGGAUUGGGGUUUGGGGUUUCGGGUAUGGGGUUUCGGGUUUCGGAUUCUAGGGAUUUAAACAUAACACUCGUUAAUUCCACGUAGGAUGAAAUCGUCGUAAAUACCACGUAAGCAUAAAUCAUCGUAAGGACCACGUAACCAGAAAUCGUCGUAAAGACCACGUAAA